AACGUCAGCAGAAAGACUUUCUGCCGCGGUUCGUUCACAAAGCGUUACUAUAGGCAGAGGCUCCCUGUUCUGAGGCUGGCUGUCAGCACUCCCCCAGCUGCUGUCUCAAACAGAGAAAGCAGGGGAGGGAAGCCUCCAGGGUUAAGCCCUUGUGGGCAGGUAGCAGCUCACCUGCAGUGAAUCAGAGAAGUUGGUGGGGGCCAGCAAUGUAGGACCAACCUGUCUCCUCCCCUGAGAACUGAAAGGCAAAAGGCACCAAAGCUCAGAAGGGAUUAGCAGCCUCACCAAACACUUCUGGGUGAUGCGAGGGCUGCGCAGCUCAGAACCCUUGGAAGGAAGAGAGGGGCACGAGUCCGGCGGCCUUCGGGUGCGGUGAUGGAGGGCUCUUCGGUAGCCACGCUGCCCGCCUCCCACGCACACCUUAACACGUCCUGGGGCCCCGGGCCAGCGCUACAGCCCAAAGAGACCCUGCAGCCGCAUUUUCCCCCAGCCCGAGGCAAACCUUGGCUUCACCUCCCUUCACCAUUGCUUGUAGGGCAGAGGGUCCCUGGGACGCCUUGCCUGACCUGAGUGAGUCAGAGACCCCUCUUUAUUUUCAGUGGGGGUGUGACCUGGGGAGAUAAAAAAAGGACCACAGACCUGGGGAGUGGGGCCCUGCACCCUUUUGUGCCGGGAGUGGCCUCCUUCUCUGCUCCCUCCUCCACCGGCAGGCUGGGGGUCGUGGUUCCCACUGAAACUGGAGCCGCUCCCCGGCCCGCAGAUGAGAGAUAAAGAAGCCCGGCGGCGCCGAAGCGCUGACCAGCAGACCCGGAUCCGGACUUUUUCCGCGCUCCAGAGCAGCACUCGAGAUCCUACUUCCCCGGGUGGCACCAACCCAGCUCGGAAGAAAUGGGUUGGCUGAGCAGCUCCUCCGGUGCCACGCGGUGUCUCCAGGCACAGACAGCUGUGCCUGAUGGCGUAGUGUGCACGUGCAAGACUGCAGGAUGAUGUCCUGUGUGAACCCUGUAUUCGCCCCUUCACCCUCAGCCACUCGUACAUGCAUACGUGUGUGCAUUCGGUAUGUGUCUAGGGACAGGUGUGCACCUUUACACAUAUGUGAUGUGUAUGUGCACACAUUUGUAGAACCUUCCAGCAUUUAUCCUGCUGGUUCCUGCAGACAGGUACGGGGCUAGCUGCUCAUAAGUCAUCAUUAAACCACGCAUUCACACAGGCCUUUUCAGUUUGGGCAUGAUUUUCACAAUCAUCCCGGGAAAUACUCUGCUUUCGAAGUUUACAGAUGAGGAAACCAGCCAAGAGACGCUAAUGGGUGCCCGUGUGCACACACUCUGAGAGAGAUCUAGGCCAGCCAAAUGAACCUGGGUGUGUUUGCUGAAUGUGCUCAUAGAUGGAUCUGUUUAGCGCCUCAGGGGACCUCAGGUCCGGCGGUCCUUGGCCCUUCGCCAGGUUUCCUGGGAGACGCACCGCGCCCGGGUGUGGGGGUCUCAAUUUGUGUGCUGAUAAGCGCCGUCUUCUGGAGAGGGUGCCCAAGGCGGGAAGUUGGGAGCUGGCCGGAGAGCUGCUGGGGCAAUCCUGGCGGUUCCACGGCCGUGGCUGCCCACGCGCAACUGGGUUACAAAGCCUGUAGGGCCUUGGUCUCUAAAGCAGCCACGUCAGGCAAACGUGCGAUGAAAGGAUCCUUUCAGCCCAGCUGCAAACCCAGGAACCCAGGGUUGCCGGAGCAGUGAGGCAGUUCCCGCUGUCUCGAAUCCCUAGCGCCCCUACAAGACCCGGAGCCCUCCAUGCCCAUUUUACAGAAGUGAUUAGUCCGAGGCUAGAGCGGUGCAGUGAGUUGCUCCAGUUCAACACCAAGUGGCCAGAGUAGGGACUGGAAUCCCCAGUUAAGUGUGUCUGGAUCCUUGGCCCACAGUCCCUCUGUCCACAGCACGGAUCGCUGGUCCCUCUUGCUCCACGUCUCCCGUGCGGUCAGGAGCCAUCCCGCUACUGGCCUCCGACUUCCCACGCCAAGAACACGAAGACUCUCAUAGCUCUCACCAGCAUCAUUUAAAAGGUUUCUGCACGCUUGGAAUCUGUGGCUUGAGAACAAAUUCCCCGUGUGCAUUGGGUUUUGUUUCUUUCUAACCCCUUCUGAGGCAUCUGGUCCCCUUCCAUCCUCUGAGCCCUUGCCGUCUCAGAGUGAGGCUGCCUAAGGGCUGUAGUUUGACCACAUCUCGGGGGUGCCCCUGGGCCUCGGCGCCGGGCUCCGGCAGACUGAGGUCGCUGGGCCCUGGGCUCCAAGGCCGCUCCCCACCCCGCAGAGUCCGGGAGCUGGAAGGGAGCGGGUGGUUCGGCGAGGUCGCCGUACGGGCUCACGGCCUCGAGGCUGCCCUCUGCUGGUACGGGGCGACAUUACCGCCGCCUCCCUCGGCGGCCCGGAGCUGCACCUACAGGAGGGGCUCGCGCAGAGCCUGGCGACCCCAUUCUUGCUGGGUCCCCAGAAUGGCUGCCGCACCUUCAGCCUCUGACUAGACCCUCCGGUAUUUCUCAAUCCGAGACUUCUGCUCCCUGCCGACACCCGAGGCUCCGGUGCUCGGACCCAGGCGCAAGACAGAGAGCCGGAGCUCUGCGCUGGUAAUCCCGCCGCUGUGCGGCGCCCGUCGGGAUCUGCCGCCAGCCAGGCACCGCCACAGGCAACGCUGGGGGACUCCGGGGGUGGCCCCAGGCUGUGCUCGACCCCUUUGCACUAUAGCAUUGAUUGGCACCCACGGGUCCAGACCGACGCCCAAAAAAGCCUACCCUCCCCCUUUCAACUCCGUUUGAUGGUGGCCCAGGCGCUUGGCUGCCUCUAUUUCUUGCAGUGCACUCGUCUCUUCAACCAAAUAGCGCCUAGACGGCCGGAAUGGGCGGCUCCCUACCCGCACCGCACAGGCCUCGCUCAGGUUCUGCCGGGACAGGAGGGAACUGAUUCCAGAGGCUUCCAUUCUUGCCCUUGAAAUGAACUUCAGACAGUGAGGCGAAGAGACACUUUUGCCUGCUGCAUCCAUUCGAGACAGGAUGGGGUAACAAUUGCGUAGUCAUCAUAUCUAUGCAUUUCCAGUGCUAGGUAUUACGACUUUUCACAUUUUCACUUCCCCCCCCCCCACUCACAAAUUCAAACUGAAGAAAACUGGGAAAAUAAAACAUUAAAAUGCACCCAAAAAAAAGCGCCAACACUACAACAAUCCCAUCCAUCCUCUCACAAGGUAACCACGGUUAACAUUUUGAUGGCAUUCUUCCAGUCUUUUUAAAUAUAUAUUUCAUUUAAAAUAAGUCUAAUUUUUAUAAUUAACACAUACACAUAAAAUUUGCAGUUUUGUAUACUGCUUGUUUUAACCUUUCACCAUAGGGUUUUUCUCCUUAUUCUUUGAAAAAUGGUUUUCAAUUAUUGCUUAAUAAUCCAUCCUUUGGAUGAAGCAUAAUUUUGUUAUACACCAGCACCAAGUAUCUGUUGUAGGCCCAGGAAAGUCUCCUUAAGCCAAGCUCUCUGGAUCAGUCUGGAUUUGUAAAUAUAUAAGCAGUAGUUGAUCAAUAAAUGUUGAGUCUUUCUUUUU